UAUGUAGGGUGCAAGCGUUAAUCGGAAUUACUGGGCGUAAAGGGUGCGUAGGCGGUUGUUUAAGUCUGUCGUGAAAUCCCCGGGCUCAACCUGGGAAUGGCGAUGGAUACUGGGCAGCUAGAGUGUGUCAGAGGAUGGCGGAAUUCCCGGUGUAGCGGUGAAAUGCGUAGAGAUCGGGAGGAACAUCAGUGGCGAAGGCGGCCAUCUGGGACAACACUGACGCUGAAGCACGAAAGCGUGGGGAGCAAACAGG
rnacentral:rRNA from 1 species